GAUCCUGGCUCAGGAUGAACGNUAGCGGCAGGCUUAACACAUGCAAGUCGAGGGGCAGCAUAAUGGAUAGCAAUAUCUAUGGUGGCGACCGGCGCACGGGUGCGUAACGCGUAUGCAACCUACCUUUAACAGGGGGAUAACACUGAGAAAUUGGUCUAAUACCCCAUAAUAUCAUAGAAGGCAUCUUUUAUGGUUGAAAAUUCCGAUGGUUAGAGAUGGGCAUGCGUUGUAUUAG
rnacentral:rRNA from 1 species